GAUGAACGCUGGCGGCGUGCCUAACACAUGCCAGUCGAACGGAAGCACGAGGAGCUUGCUCUCUUACCGUUAGCGACUGACGGACGGGUGACGCGUGGAUCACCUCCUUCUAUUACUUGGAUGACUACGUGGAACCGCUGCUGCUACCAGAGAAUAUAUCCAACCGCAUGGUUCAAUAGAUAAUGACAGCUUUCGCGUCUCUUUUAGCCGGAUCCGGGCCGGAGUAGUUAGUUGGUAAGGGAACGGCUUAGCAAGGAGACGAAGCGUAGCCGACCUGAGAGGGUGAUCGGCCACACUGGAACUGAGACACGGUCCAGACUCCUAAGGGAGGCAGCAGUAGGGAAUCUUACGCAAUGGGCGAAAGCCUGACGGAGCAACGCCGCGUGAGUGAUGAAGGUCUUCGGAUUGUAAAACCCUGUUAUUAGGGAAGAAAAAAUGUGUAAUUAUAUAUGGACGUCCUGACGGUACCCAAACAGAAAGCCACGGCUAACUACGUG
rnacentral:rRNA from 1 species